GUGGGGAAUCUUGCGCAAUGGGCGAAAGCCUGACGCAGCCAUGCCGCGUGAAUGAUGAAGGUCUUAGGAUUGUAAAAUUCUUUCACCGGGGACGAUAAUGACAGUACCCGGAGAAGAAGCUCCGGCUAACUUCGUGCCAGCAGCCGCGGUAAUACGAAGGGGGCUAGCGUUGCUCGGAAUUACUGGGCGUAAAGGGCGCGUAGGCGGACAGCUUAGUCAGAGGUGAAAGCCCAGGGCUCAACCUUGGAAUUGCCUUUGAUACUGGCUGUCUUGAGUUUGGGAGAGGUGAGUGGAACUCCGAGUGUAGAGGUGAAAUUCGUAGAUAUUCGGAAGAACACCAGUGGCGAAGGCGACUCACUGGCCCAAUACUGACGCUGAGGCGCGAAAGCGUGGGGAGCAAACAGGAUUAGAUACCCGGGUAGUCC
rnacentral:rRNA from 1 species